CGACGGGGGGAUCCCAAGUGCCAUUCUUAACGGGAUGGCUUUUCAUUAGUGUAAAGAGCUUUUGGAAUAAGAGCUGGGCAAGACCGGUGCCAGCCGCCGCGGUAACACCGGCAGCUCUAGUGGUAACAAUUUUUAUUGGGCCUAAAGCGUCCGUAGCCGGUUUAAUAAGUCUCUGGUGAAAUCCUGUAGCUUAACUGUGGGAAUUGCUGGAGAUACUAUUAGACUUGAGACCGGGAGAGGUUAGAGGUACUCCCAGGGUAGAGGUGAAAUUCUGUAAUCCUGGGAGGACCGCCUGUUGCGAAGGCGUCUAACUGGAACGGUUCUGACGGUGAGGGACGAAAGUUAGGGGCGCGAACCGGAUUAGAUACCCGGGUAGUCCUAACUGUAAACGAUGCGGACUUGGUGUUGGGGUGGCUUUGAGCUGCUCCAGUGCCGAAGGGAAGCUGUUAAGUCCGCCGCCUGGGAAGUACGGUCGCAAGACUGAAACUUAA
rnacentral:rRNA from 1 species